GAUGAACGCUGGCGGCGUGCCUAAUACAUGCAAGUCGAGCGAACAGACGAGGAGCUUGCUCCUCUGACGUUAGCGGCGGACGGGUGAGUAACACGUGGAUAACCUACCUAUAAGACUGGGAUAACUUCGGGAAACCGGAGCUAAUACCGGAUAAUAUAUUGAACCGCAUGGUUCAAUAGUGAAAGACGGUUUUGCUGUCACUUAUAGAUGGAUCCGCGCCGCAUUAGCUAGUUGGUAAGGUAACGGCUUACCAAGGCAACGAUGCGUAGCCGACCUGAGAGGGUGAUCGGCCACACUGGAACUGAGACACGGACCAUACUCCUACGGGAGGCAGCAGUAGGGAAUCUUCCGCAAUGGGCGAAAGCCUGACGGAGCAACGCCGCGUGAGUGAUGAAGGUCUUCGGAUCGUAAAACUCUGUUAUUAGGGAAGAACAAAUGUGUAAGUAACUAUGCACGUCUUGACGGUACCUAAUCAGAAAGCCACGGCUAACUACGUG
rnacentral:rRNA from 1 species